GACGAACGCUGGCGGCGUGCCUAAUACAUGCAAGUAGAACGCUGAAGGAAGGAGCUUGCUCUUUCUGGAUGAGUUGCGAACGGGUGAGUAACGCGUAGGUAACCUGCCUGGUAGCGGGGGAUAACUAUUGGAAACGAUAGCUAAUACCGCAUAAAAUUGAUUAUUGCAUGAUAGUCAAUUAAAAGGUGCAACUGCACCACUACCAGAUGGACCUGCGUUGUAUUAGCUAGUUGGUGGGGUAACGGCUCACCAAGGCGACGAUACAUAGCCGACCUGAGAGGGUGAUCGGCCACACUGGGACUGAGACACGGCCCAGACUCCUACGGGAGGCAGCAGUAGGGAAUCUUCGGCAAUGGACGGAAGUCUGACCGAGCAACGCCGCGGGAGUGAAGAAGGGUUUCGGAUCGUAAAGCUCUGUUGUAAGAGAAGAACGAGUGUGAGAGUGGAAAGUUCACACUGUGACGGUAUCUUACCAGAAAGGGACGGCUAACUACGUG
rnacentral:rRNA from 1 species